UACGUAGGGUGCAAGCGUUGUUCGGAAUCAUUGGGCGUAAAGCGCGUGUAGGCGGUUAGGUAAGUCGGUUGUGAAAUACCUGAGCUCAACUUAGGAAGUGCAUCCGAAACUGCUUAGCUAGAGGACGGUAGAGGAAGGUGGAAUUCCUAGUGUAGAGGUGAAAUUCGUAGAUAUUAGGAGGAAUACCGGUGGCGAAGGCGGCCUUCUGGGCCGAUUCUGACGCUGAGACGCGAAAGCGUGGGUAGCAAACAGG
rnacentral:rRNA from 1 species